rnacentral:rRNA from 1 species
GAUGAACGCUAGCGGCGUGCCUAACACAUGCAAGUCGAACGUGAGAGGGUACUUGUAUCCUUGAAAGUGGCGGACGGGUGAGUAAGACGUAGGUGACCUGCCUUGAAGUGGGGAUAACCAUUGGAAACGAUGGCUAAUACCGCAUAAGCUGGUGAUGAUGGGAAUCGUUAUCAGGAAAGCUUUAGUGCUUUGAGAGGGGCCUACGGCCGAUUAGCUAGUUGGUGAGGUAAAGGCUCACCAAGGCGAUGAUCGGUAGCUGGUCUGAGAGGACGAUCAGCCACACGGGAACUGAGACACGGUCCCGACUCCUACGGGGGGCAGCAGUGAGGAAUAUUCGGCAAUGGGGGGCAACCCUGACCGAGCAACGCCGCGUGGAGGAUGACGGUUUUCGGAUUGUAAACUCCUUUUCUCAGGGAAGAGCGAGGGACGGUACCUGGGGAAUAAGUCACGGCUAACUACGUG